rnacentral:ncRNA from 1 species
CGGUGAGGUAGAGGCGCAAAUAGGAUUAGUAGUCAAUAGGAGAAUGACACCUGUGAUUAUUGACGAAAGGACUGUUUGCCGAAGUGUAAGAAGAGUCAAGCUUCUUAUUGCUGGUAUAGUUUUGAAGAAAGGCUAUACUGUCAUGUUCAUGAUUGUGCAUGGAGGACUACUGAUCGU